UUUUGCUGUUUAUGGCCGCACCUGCAGCAUGUGGAGGUUCCCAGGCUAGGGGUCGAAUUGGAUCUACAGCUGCCGACCUACACCACAGCCACAGCAACGCCAGGUCCAAGCCAUGUCUGCGACCUACCCCACAGCUCAUGGCAACGCUGGAUCCUUAACCCACUGAGCGAGGCCAGGGAUCAAACCUGAGUCCUCUUGGACUAGUCGGAUUUGUUUCUGCUGAGCCACGACAGGAACUCCAGAAUCUACUAUUUCUUGACUAUCUGGUGGGCAGGUAUUUUACAUAUGGUAACAAGCCGGUUCUGGAAGCAACCUGACUUAACUCAUUAUCUUCCUUGUUUUAUGGAAGAAAGCCAGGCUCAGCCCAGCAACUGGGAACAGGGAUGAAGAGCCAGGAUUGAAACCCCAGUCUGUCUGUCGGCUGCCCAAAUCCGUGACUGGCUAGCCGCUCCAGAAGUAAAGUUUUCUUAGUCAUCGCCUUGCUGCCAGCCAUUUUUCAGAACCUUCUUUCAUCCAAUUUUCUUUGGAUGAAAGAUCACAUUUCCUUUAUCGCCCAUGUGAGGACAAGCCAUCCACCCAGCUGAUGACUGCAUUAAGAUUCUAAUCGAUAGCAUAAGAGAAAAAAAAAAACCCCGAAGGAAAAACAGACUGUCCACAAAAGGUGAGACUUUGCUUAAGUGCAGCACAGGGGGGGAUGAUGGAAAUUCCUCUCAUCUCUUUCAGCAACCAGGAGCCCAGAGCUUGGGAAUUACAGACGAUGCAUUUCUUAUCUGGCUUCACGCUUUGAGGAGCAGAGGGAAACGAGGGGUUUGAAAAUCUCUACGGCGUAUAUGCCUUACCUGUCUCGCAAGCAGGAUAAAUGACUUCAAAGAAUUUAAGCAGCCUGAAAGAGGAACAGCUAACCUCAGAGCUGCUGGGGUUUAUAUGAGUUCGUAGUGAAAGAUACAGAAGGUGGGGGUGGGGAAAGGCUUGACAACGUUGCUUGAAAUUCUCAGGGACAGGGAGGGAUGAGGGGGAGAGAAAAAAUGGAAUCAUAGUCCUACCAUGAAGUCAGGGCCGUGGAGCGGGAUCAGCAACACGGCAGAGAAAAGCCCUUGCUUGGGGCUGAAUGGAAUCUGUGAGCAGAACGACAAAGCCCCGAUUCAGCCUGGGUUGGGACACCUCUUGUGACAGCAAUUACGGGUAUUGAAGAAGCAGAACAGAAUCACUAGGUGAUGAGUUUUCCCUUCCUGUUGUAAAGAGCCAUGAGCCAAGCAUCCCUUCUCCCAGGGGGCAGGAAAGUCUCCUGAGUGCUGGUGACUGUUAGCACAGCAGGCAAGCCUGACUCCACUGCCUGUAUUUUAAGGCCGAAAGUGGUGUCACAUUUUUAAGUGGUUGAGAGAAAUCAAAACCAAAAAGAGUAAUUCGUGACGUGUAAAAAGACAUAAAUUCAGGGAGUUCCCGCUCUGGCUUAGCGGUAAGGAACCAAACUAGUAUCCAUGAGGAUACGGGGCGAUCUCUGGCCUUGUUCAGUGGGUUAAGGAUCUGUUGUUCCCAUGAGCUGUGGUGGAGGUUUGCAGGAGAGGCUCGGAUCUGGCGUUGCUGUGGCUGUGGUUUUUCCUAUGUAUAUAUAUAUAGGAAACUGGGUCACUUUGCUGCACAUCAGAAAUUGAUACAACAUUGUAAAUCAACUAUACUUUAAUUUUUAAAAAAAUAGUAUGUAAUGCUUUCCCCCAGCUUUGUCAAAUGACUGGCUCCUGCCCAGCCUUCACUGUGUCACCUACAACGGGGUGCCUCGCCCAAGGAUGCUCUUAUAGUUACUCUGAGCACCAUAAUUAAUUACUGUGCUCACUCGUUGGCUUGAUUCCCUAUGGUCUGUCUCCCUGCCAAAGAUGUCAGCUCAGGAUUUUCCUUUGCCAUAUCCGCAUAUCCGCCACCAUAUGUUAGAAUCUAGUGUAAUGCUUGACAUAAAUAUUUUUUGGAUGAAUGAAUGAAAAAAUGAACAAAUCAAUUUUUAUUCAAGUUGGACCUUUGAUAAAAUCUCCCAACGGCUCUUUCUCCUCUUUAAUCCAUUCUCUAUAUUCCUGUCCAAUAGAAAUGUAAUACAAACUAUAUAUGCAUUUAAAGUUCUUCCAAUGGAGUGUCUGUCGUGCCUCAGUGGAAACAAAUAUGACUAGUCCCCGUGAGGGCGCAGGUUCAAUCCCUGGCCUCGCUCAGUGGGUUAAAUCCGAUGUCCCUGGAAACCUCACCUGCUCUUCUGAGACUGGUGUUUCCCUCACUGCUACGGUACCAAGAGAAAAACGAGGAAGCAUAGCCAUAUCCCAUUGGAAGCAAUAUGGAAAGCAUUUUCCUCUUUAAAACUGGGAAUGAUUGGCACAUCUGACCAAGUGGGCUCAUCUUUCUAGGAUGGUUUUCAAGAGGGGCGGUGCCUGCCUUACCUCCCCAACAGCAACGCCCUUGGCCCCCCAACUAAAUGGUGGCUGCCAGACUUGGAACUUGGCCUUCGACCCGGAUGCUUAACUUUGGAGGCUGGGGCUGUGCUUCUCUCCCUUGGAAGAGGAUUCAGAGGGGAAAGAAGAGCCCAAUUAUUAGAUCAGGUUGGCUCCACUGGGAACCUUGAUCUUUUAAUAUUGAGACAGAGAAACACAAGUGCUCUGAGCGUCUGGCCUUCCAGAGAAGGUUUUUGACGACUCACCUGUUUCUGCAGGAUUUCAAAGCCCUGAAAUAAAGGUAUAGUCUAGAGACAAAAGACCAGAGUCAGGAAGGACAUUUGAACUUGUUCGGUGGAAACAAUGAGAGGAGAUCCCUGGGGGCAACGAAUAAGAGGCAUUUGUGGGAUCAUCUGUAGCCACACCAAACUCCCAGAGCAAACGGAUUCCAGCAUGAACCAGAUGGACAAUUUAUGUAGCUUUGUCUUCUGCCACCGACAGCUGGAUUGUGAAGAUGCUCAAAGGAAUAGGCAGGAUCCACUGAACAGCAAGGGAAACAGUUGGUACAAGAAUCACUCUUCCCUCCAGGGAACCAGGAGGACUGUGACAUUUUACUGGAAAGGUGACAGGUGUAGGAGAGCAAGGCUUUGUGCAAGACUACAGGGCGUGAUUGGGGAGCAGUUCCAUUGACCUGGGAGACGUGGGCUGGGGAGGAAAAAAAUGAGCUUUGGAGGCACAUGAGCUUUGGGUGGGAGCUCAGCUGUACCACUUCUACUGUGUGAGCUUCCUGCCUCUCAUCUCCAGCUUUCUCAUCUAGAAGAUGGAAGGUGUACCAUCUCCCUGUGAGGCUGUGAUGAGGACUGCAUGAAGUCAAGAGAGAGGGGCAGAGAGAGAGGACUUGGAGGUCAGGUGCCACACAUAAAGAGAGUUUAGGGCGAGUUUCACUCCCCUUCCCUGACCUCAGUCUUGUGGGCUGAGGAAGAGAAUACUGAAAAACAUGCUCUCAUUUUGUAUUACUCUUAGGCGUUAAAUUGUAGUCCACUUGACAAGUCUAAGAGGAACUGCAAAUACAUUCCUAAGCCCUGCGCAAGGCUUUUGACGGCUUAAUUAUAAGUCACCCUCAGGAUAUUCUUUAUUUUUUUGGACACACCCAUGGCAUGCACAAAUUCCAGGACCAAGGACAGAACCUAAGCCACAGCAGUGGCAUUGCUGGAUCCUUAACCACUAGGCCACCAGGGAACUCCAGGAUAUUCUCCCAGACAGCCCAUUUUUUCUUUCUUUCUCUCUGAAACUUAUUUAAACUCCAGAAUGGGGCUAUGCGAAGGCGAAGAAAAAUAGAAUGACAGUCUUUAAAAUCACUGGCCAAAAACUUGACCACCUUUCUUUCUGACCAUCUCUUCAGAGCUUCUGGCCCAGCCUGAACAUCCCACUUCUGGGUUUAACAAGAGCUGUGGGCCAUCUCAGCCAAAUUCUGGAAAAUCUAUCCCAAGCACAACAUAAGUGGAAACCAACUAUGGAAAUCCUCAUUUGAGCCAAUAGAGACCUGCUUACUUUCUAAAAUAAUUUUCUAGUUAUACAAACCUAUUGUUAGUUGAAUCCUGUUUGCUUUGUUGUAGUUUUGGGGAAAGACUCUAGAGUACCUGGUUGUCAUCUGGCCAAGACAGACAUUCUUUGGGACAAAGUGGGGGGAACCAGUCUGUGCCCAGAAGAGACCCAGAGACCCCAGUGCACAUGGGACAACUUUAGUAGACCUGGUAACUUGGGGUCAUUUAUUCCUCAAAGAAAUCGCAUCUCAUUUCCUAAAAUCAAAGCCCCUAAAGUUUUGUUUUGUUUUGUUUCAAGAGAAACCCUGUUAAACUGGCUUGUAGCUAAAGAGAUCAUCUGGGACUUGACUCAGGAGCUAAAUGAGUCCAAGGUUGGACCAAAGAGCCGAAGCAGCCUAAGUGUGGGAGGACAGAUGGGCAACACAGUGGGAGAGGUCAGGGGAGGGGAGGGGUGUUCUUCUUUCCUUUUCUCCACCGCACUCAGCAGCAGUGGCAUUUCCAUGCCUUUUGAAUACAGCAGGACUUUGGAAGAAGGAAAGGUGCCUUCUUUCAAGGCGUGCGAUCAUCAAUGGUAUUCCCGAGAUGGGAAGAGGUGCUGAUACAGAUGUCUCACGUAGCAGUUGCUCCAGUGGACCAGGAAGUUCUCUCUAUCCCCUGGGUCCAAUAGCGAUCCUCUGUUCUCACUGGGUAUAUAUCACUUUUUAGUUUUUGAUCUCCAACGUAUGGACCAGGAGUUAGAAGACCUGAGUUCUAGAUUCUGCUACCCCAUCAUGCAUCCAGUCACUGACUAAGUGUUAUUCCCUGUGCUUGGAGUCUCUGCUUCCUGAUAGAAAAAGCAAAGUGGUUUUUCUGGGCGGUCAAAGUCUCUUCUUGCUCUGAGUCUCUAAGAAUCUAUGAAGUUAUACCUACCUGCAUCUAUGACAAUAAAGCAAAAAUACUAGUCACAAUUUCCCUCCAGGAAGGCCAGAGUUGAGGUUGUUCAAAGGUGGGAACAAGUCCCCUUGGGUCUAAGCGCUUUCUGGGAAGUUCUUCAGUCAUGGCUAGCAUUGGUCCAACAGACAUCAUGGCGUGGUUGAUGUUCGUUGUCGAAACUACUCCUUUCUUUAUAUUUAAUUAUUCCUGCUAUUUGGCUUUACCUCCUAUAAGUUCCUCCUUUGAGACAGUGGUGCAGGGCCUCGUGUGGUAUGUCCAAGGAAACUGCCACAGCCCAACCACUGGGAUCUGAUAAUCCCGCUUUCUUCAUUCCAACAAUCCCCCUCUUCCUUAUCCUGAUGCAAAAAGUAAGCAUUUUUAUUUCUAGGGAUGUCCUUAUUUAAAUAGCAAUUGUGAAAAUGCCUGUUUUUUGUUGUGUAAAAACUGAAAUUGUAUCUUCACCCAUUUUUUUUCUGAUGUAAGUUUAGAGUUCACGGGUAAUACCAAAGACUGAGGCAAUAGAAUUCACACAUGCUGUGAAAAAAAAAAGAACAUGACUGACAGUCCCCCGUAUGUAGCAGCCACUGUUUUGGGGGCUUUAUCUACACGGAUUGUCUCUUUCGAAAAUCAAAACAUGUCAGAAAAGCCAAACACAAACACGUUUGAAGAGAAGUCAAAUCUUUAUCCAGGGUAUCUCUAUUUCCUUCCUAUC
rnacentral:lncRNA from 1 species